AAAAGUUUUUUAAAGCAAAAAAGUUCAAAGAGUAUAUCUAAUAAAUAUAUUCCCUUGAAACACAACAGAACUUUUUAAUAUUCGAAGUAUUGCAGUUCAGCUUUCCAAAGCAAACUGUUAUAUGAUAUGGUACUCCUGGCGAAUAUAUUUUGGCCAACAAAACCAACAAGAAGAACUAGAAAAUAUUGCUACAGGAAAAUAAACGAUUUGAAUGCUUUUAACAAUAAAUGAGUUAAGGAUGCGCCGAUAGCUAGCAAAGCGACCAAAAACCAACUAGUUUGAAGCAAAAAAAGUAACAAAAUCCAUACAGCGUUGUAGGCAGGCAGGCAUAGCGGGAGGUCAAACGUAUUCAAAGCGCUGACCAUUCAUUGAUUUUGAGAGCACAACCAAAUAUUUUAUUUCACUAUAUUUUCGUAUGUUACAAUAUUUUUGCCAAUCCACAGCACAUAACGGUAUUUGUAUAUAAAUAUUUGUAGUGUAUGUGAAAUGAAAAAUUGAUAUGCUCCUG